GGGGGCGACCUUGGUUUCGACGGGGGUUGCGAAGCAAAUGCGGGCAUACCGAGUUUUCAGUAACUCGUAAAACACUGAAUCUAAAUAGUCGCAAACGACGAAACUUACGCUUUGGCUGCUUAAUGCCAAGCUGUUGCAGCAGCUCGCCAAUGGGCUGUGCGGGGCAACUCGCCGCAACAUCAUUUCACAUUGGCUGGUUUCCUGUCGGGUUGCUUGGCAGGGGGCGAGAUUAAAGGCAACUGGUUUCUUGAAAGCCUGUUGGUCGGCGCGAUAGAAACAAGAUUUCUAAAUUGACACAACUAAGUAUGUAGAACGCUUUGUAGAGGACUUUCGGACGGGGGUUCAAUUCCCCCCGCCUCCACCA
rnacentral:tmRNA from 1 species